rnacentral:rRNA from 1 species
GACGAACGCUGGCGGCGUGCUUAACACAUGCAAGUCGAACGGAAAGGCCUCUUUCGGGCGGUACUCGAGUGGGGAACGGGUGAGUAACACGUGAGUAACCUGCCCUCGACUUUGGGAUAACUUCAGGAAACUGGGCCGAAUACCGGAUAGGAGCUCCUGCGGCAUGGUGGGGGUUGGAGAGUUUCGGCGGUUGGGGGUGGGCUCGCGGGUUAUCCGCUUGGUGGUGGGGUAUUGGCUUACCAACGCGUUGACGAGUAGCCGCCCUGAGGGGGUGAGACGCCACCCUGGGACCUACGGGCGGCAGAAGUUGCUACUGGUGGGAAAAGUGGGGAAGCUUGCACAAGGGGUGGCGGCCGGGUGCAGCAACUCCGCGUAUGGGAUGACGGUGUUAGUGGUGUAAACCGCUUUUGCUCGUGACGAAGCUUGGUGUGACGGUAGCGGGUAAAGAAGCACCGGCUAACUACGUG